UGUCAGUGAACUGCGGCGAGCAACAGAAAUGGCAGACAAACAAAGUUAAAAGCAAACCAGAAAAAAUGCAUACUAUGCAUAUGUACAUAUGUAUAUAUGAAAGUAGCUGAGUAAGGCGUCUGCUGGCAGUAAAUUAUCGAUAUCGAUUAUUGUGGGCUGAUAUUCUUCCGAAAAUAUCUCAAACAGUUUAAUACGUUCCUAGUUUUGAUGUGGACUUUGAAACCGAUAACAGCUGUAGCUUUAGAUGUUCGUCAUUUUAUAUUUUAACUAGCUUAAAAUAGUAUAUAAUUUAUACAAUAGCAGUUGAUUUAAAAUAAUUUUAAUAUACAAAAACCUAUUAUUAAGUCAGUAGUAUAAGCUUAACGAGAAUAUCCCGUUUAGUUAAUCCUGAAAUAUUAUCUUUCAUUUAAAAAAAUUUAAAACUAGUGUACUCCUUGCUUGCCUUAUGUUCUAUAUUCCUUUCCGUAAAAUCAAAAUUUCUACUGAAACUUAGGAAGUAUACUUAAAAACCUUAUUCACUUCUUCUCUUAAUAUCUACUAUAAAGCAGUUUAACGAUAUCCUACAAAUAAAACCAAAUGCUUAAAGCAGAAAUUGUCUAACUGAGAUCCUCAAAAAAAAAUUCUAAAAUCUUGACAAUAUUUUAAAAUUAAAAAAAUAUGAAAACACAAAAUAUUAUAGAGUUUUUCUUAAAAAUUAUAUUAUGACAAAUAUUAUGAAAUCUUUGAGAAGCAUCUUCAUAUAUGAA